rnacentral:rRNA from 1 species
GACAUGCAGAGAACUUUCCAGAGAUGGAUUGGUGGCCUUCGGGAACGUCUGACACAGGUGCUGCAUGGCUGUCGUCAGCUCGUGUCGUGAGAUGUUGGGUUAAGUCCGUAACGAGCGCAACCCUUGUCCUUAGUUACCAGCACGUUAUGGUGGGCACUCUAAGGAGACUGCCGGUGACAAACCGGAGGAAGGUGGGGGAUGACGUCAAGUCAUCAUGGCCCUUACGGCCUGGGCUACACACGUGCUACAAUGGUCGGUACAAAGGGUUGCCAAGCCGCGAGGUGGAGCUAAUCCCAUAAAACCGAUCGUAGUCCGGAUCGCAGUCUGCAACUCGACUGCGUGAAGUCGGAAUCGCUAGUAAUCGUGAAUCAGAAUGUCACGGUGAAUACGUUCCCGGGCCUU